rnacentral:rRNA from 1 species
CAGUCGCCGCGGUAAUACGUAGGUGGCAAGCGUUGUCCGGAAUUAUUGGGCGUAAAGGGCUCGCAGGCGGUUUCUUAAGUCUGCUGUGAAAGCCCCCGGCUCAACCGGGGAGGGUCAUUGGAAACUGGGAAACUUGAGCGCAGAAGAGGAGAGUGGAAUUCCACGUGUAGCGGUGAAAUGCGUAGAGAUGUGGAGGAACACCAGUGGCGAAGGCGACUCUCUGGUCUGUAACUGACGCUGAGGAGCGAAAGCGUGGGGAGCGAACAGGAUUAGAUACCCCCGUAGUCCCUGUCUCUUAUAC